rnacentral:rRNA from 1 species
CUGAAUAUUCUAAGGCGCUCGGGUGAUGGUAUGUUCAGGAACUAGGCACAUUAGCUCCGUAACUUCGGGAGAAGGAGUGCCCACGCAAGUGGGUCGCAGUGAAGAGUCUCAGGCGACUGUUUAACAAAAACACAGGUCUCUGCUAAGUCGAAAACGACGUAUAGGGGCUGACGCCUGCCCGGUGCCGGAAGGUUAAAGGGAGAGGUUAGCGCAAGCGAAGCUUUGAACUGAAGCCCCGGUGAACGGCGGCCGUAACAAUAACGGUCCUAAGGUAGCAAAAUUCCUUGUCGGGUAAGUUCCGACCUGCACGAAUGGCGUAACGAUCUGAGAACUGUCUUAACAUGCCGCCCGGCGAACUUGUGGUCCCGGUGAAGACGCCGGGUGCCCGCCACUAGACGAAAAGACCCCGUGCACCUUUACUAUACUUUUUCAUUGAUUUAUGGGGCCAUCUGCGCAGCAUAGGUGGGAGGCUUUGAUUCCAGGUUCUCGGACUUGGAGGAGCCAACGGUGAGAUACCACCCUGAUGGUUCUGUGAAUCUAACCUGUUCCCGUGAUCCGGGAAAGGGACAAUGGAAGACGGGUAGUUUGACUGGGGCGGUCGCCUCCUAAAUUGUAACGGAGGCGCGCGAAGCUAGGUUCAGGCUGUUUGGAAAUCAGCCGACGAGUGCAAAAGCAUAAACCUGGUUAACUGUAAGACCAACAAGUCGAGCAGAUACGAAAGUAGGCUUUAGUGAUCCGGUGAUUCUGUAUGGAAGGGUCAUCGCUCAACGGAUAAAAGGUACGCCGGGGAUAACAGGCUGAUCGGAGUCAAGAGUUCACAUCGACGCUCCGGUUUGGCACCUCGAUGUCGGCUCAUCGCAUCCUGGGGGUGUAGAAGCUCCCAAGGGUUAGGCUGUUCGCCUAUUAAGGCGGUACGUGAGCUGGGUUCAGAACGUCGCGAGACAGUUCGGUCUCUAUCUGUGGUGGGCGGAGGAAAUUUGAAGGGGCCUGCCCUUAGUACGAGAGGACCGGGGUGGACGAAUCUCUUGUGUUCCAGUUGUCUCACCAGAGGCAUAGCUGGGUAGCGAAAUUCGGUCAGGAUAAGCGCUGAAUGCAUAUAAGCGCGAAACCUUCCCUAAGAUGAGAUUUCCCAACGAAAGUAAGAAGAGCACUGGAAGACUACCAGUUUGAUAGGGCAGAUGUGUAAGCGUAGCAAUACGUUGAGCUUACUGCUACUAAUCGCUCGUUCGGCUUGACCA